CCGUUGGAUACUGACCGAGUUAUAGGCAAAAGUUGAUGCAAAAAUGAGGAAAAUUUUACACUUUCUGAAACAGGGUAAGGAACUUGGUUCCUCGAAUAACUUCUGGCACAGACAUCUGAGGGCAUGGCCGUCCAAGAAGAAAAUGUAGCCAUUGGUGCCAUCUAUCGACCACAGGUUAAAGAUUGGCGAUUCGUUGGAUACCGACCGAGUUAUAGGCAAAAUUUGGUGCAAAAAUGAGGAAAUUUUUCAUUUUUUUUUUUAAUUUUUUGAUUUUUUUAUUAUUUUUCACUCUUUUUUUUUAUUUCAAGCAUUAUUAGAGUGAAAAGAAACUCAUUGCAACCCAUUGGCAUUAAAAUAAAACAAUUUAAUUUUUUUUGCAAAAUUUCCCAAAAAAAUCGUAAGGGGUAAGCCUUAUGAAAUUUUCGAGUGGAAAAUUUUUUUGAAAUUUUUUUCUGAUUUUUUAUUCUUUUUUUAAUUAAUAGCACUAUUUAAGUGAAAAGAAACUUAUUGCAACAAAUUCCCAUCAAAAUAUAUCACAUUUAAAAUUUUUGCUACAUUGCUCAAAAAUGAGGAAAAUUUUACAUUUUCUCAAACAGGGUAAGGAACUUGGUUCCUCGAAUAACUUCUGGCACAGACAUCUGAGGGCAUGGCCGUCCAAGAAGAAAAUGUAGCCAUUGAUGCCAUCUAUCGACCACAGGUUAAAGUUUGGCGAUCCGUUGGAUACCGACCGAGUUAUAGGCAAAAGUUGAUGCAAAAAUGAGGAAAAUUUUACAUUUUCUCAAACAGGGUAAGGAACUUGGUUCCUCGAAUAACUUCUGGCACAGACAUCUGAGGGCAUGGCCGUCCAAGAAGAAAAUGUAGCCAUUGGUGCCAUCUAUCGACCACACGUUAAAGUUUGGCGAUCCGUUGGAUACCGACCGAGUUAUAGGCAAAAGUUGAUGCAAAAAUGAGGAAAAUUUUACACUUUCUCAAACAGGGUAAGGAACUUGGUUCCUCGAAUAACUUCUGGCACAGACAUCUGAGGGCAUGGCCGUCCAAGAAGAAAAUGUAGCCAUUGGUGCCAUCUAUCGACCACAGGUUAAAGAUUGGCGGUAUCGUUGGAUACCGACCGAGUUAUAGGCAAAAUUUGGUGCAAAAAUGAGGAAAAUUUUCAUUUUUUUUUUAAUUUUUUGAUUUUUUUAUUAUUUUUCACUCUUUUUUUUAUUUCAAGCAUUAUUAGAGUGAAAAGAAACUCAUUGCAACCCAUUGGCAUUAAAAUAAAACAAUUUAAUUUUUUUUGCAAAAUUUCCCAAAAAAAUCGUAAGGGGUAAGCCUUAUGAAAUUUUCGAGUGGAAAAUUUUUUUGAAAUUUUUUUCUGAUUUUUUAUUCUUUUUUUAAUUAAUAGCACUAUUUAAGUGAAAAGAAACUUAUUGCAACAAAUUCCCAUCAAAAUAUAUCACAUUUAAAGUUUUUGCUACAUUGCUCAAAAAUGAGGAAAAUUUUACAUUUUCUCAAACAGGGUAAGGAACUUGGUUCCUCGAAUAACUUCUGGCACAGACAUCUGAGGGCAUGGCUGUCCAAGAAGAAAAUGUAGCCAUUGGUGCCAUCUAUCGACCACAGGUUAAAGUUUGGCGAUCCGUUGGAUACCGACCGAGUUAUAGGCAAAAGUUGAUGCAAAAAUGAGGAAAAUUUUACAUUUUCUCAAACAGGGUAAGGAACUUGGUUCCUCGAAUAACUUCUGGCACAGACAUCUGAGGGCAUGGCCGUCCAAGAAGAAAAUGUAGCCAUUGGUGCCAUCUAUCGACCACACGUUAAAGUUUGGCGAUCCGUUGGAUACCGACCGAGUUAUAGGCAAAAGUUGAUGCAAAAAUGAGGAAAAUUUUACACUUUCUCAAACAGGGUAAGGAACUUGGUUCCUCGAAUAACUUCUGGCACAGACAUCUGAGGGCAUGGCCGUCCAAGAAGAAAAUGUAGCCAUUGGUGCCAUCUAUCGACCACAGGUUAAAGAUUGGCGGUAUCGUUGGAUACCGACCGAGUUAUAGGCAAAAUUUGGUGCAAAAAUGAGGAAAAUUUUCAUUUUUUUUUUAAUUUUUUGAUUUUUUUAUUAUUUUUCACUCUUUUUUUUAUUUCAAGCAUUAUUAGAGUGAAAAGAAACUCAUUGCAACCCAUUGGCAUUAAAAUAAAACAAUUUAAUUUUUUUUGCAAAAUUUCCCAAAAAAAUCGUAAGGGGUAAGCCUUAUGAAAUUUUCGAGUGGAAAAUUUUUUUGAAAUUUUUUUCUGAUUUUUUAUUCUUUUUUUAAUUAAUAGCACUAUUUAAGUGAAAAGAAACUUAUUGCAACAAAUUCCCAUCAAAAUAUAUCACAUUUAAAGUUUUUGCUACAUUGCUCAAAAAUGAGGAAAAUUUUACAUUUUCUCAAACAGGGUAAGGAACUUGGUUCCUCGAAUAACUUCUGGCACAGACAUCUGAGGGCAUGGCUGUCCAAGAAGAAAAUGUAGCCAUUGGUGCCAUCUAUCGACCACAGGUUAAAGAUUGGCGAUUCGUUGGAUACCGACCGAGUUAUAGGCAAAAGUUGGUGCAAAAUUGAGCCUAAUGAAAUUUUAAAUUCUUCGAUUUUGUCUUUUUUUAUAACAUAAUUGUUCAUUCGUUUUUUAUUUAAAGCAAAUUUUUUUUUUUUUUUGUUAACAGGGAGGGAACCUUCAAAAGGUACCCACCUCGAAGGGCGGCUUGCGGCUACAAACCAAUCCCUCGGAGAUGGGUUAUGUACGAUUCAGCGUGACACUAGACCCGUGAAGCGGACCUGGCAGCCGAUGGGACUCUAACUAAACCACUCCUCGACCUGAUCCGAACCCUGCCGAUGCGCUUGAUGUGCGUAGUACUCCAUGCAGGAACGUUUGUGCGAUGCACCCAUCCUGUUGACGCGCUGCUGCUUUCCAAUGCUGCUACUGCGACAUCCGUCCUGGUUGUCUCAGCUGCUGCUGCUGCUUAAAUCCGCCUGUCCGUAGCCGCUACUUCCGGUAGGGUCUAACUCCUGCUGCUGCUGCUUCCGUUCUCGUCGUCCUUUGAUGCGGUCACGGCGGCAGCUGUUGCUGUCCCGUUUGUUCCGUGUUCCGCCGUCGAUGUUGUCGUCUCCGUCUGGCCGUUGGUGGACUUUCCUCGUUCCACCUCAGUUGGAGGUUUCUGAAGAUGGUCCGUGCGGCGGUCCGGACUGCUUCCCAUGUGUUGCUGUUGGCACACAUGUUGGCUACUCGAAAAACUCCUGUGCGGUGCGUCCUCUGAACCGUGGUCCGGUGAAUAUCUUUCUGAAGAAGCGUCCGUCCCCACG